rnacentral:rRNA from 1 species
UGCCAGCAGCCGCGGUAAUACGAAGGUCCCGAGCGUUGUUCGGAUUUACUGGGCGUAAAGAGUACGUAGGCGGCAAGGUAAGUCAGAUGUGAAAGCCCCGGGCUCAACCUGGGAACUGCAUUCGAUACUGGCAGACUAGAGUGCGAGAGAGGGAGGUAGAAUUCCAUGUGUAGCGGUGAAAUGCGUAGAUAUGUGGAGGAAUACCAGUGGCGAAGGCGGCCUCCUGGCUCGACACUGACACUGAGGUGCGAAAGCGUGGGGAGCAAACAGGAUUAGAUA